GACGAACGCUGGCGGCGUGCUUAACACAUGCAAGUCGAACGGAGUGCCCAUGACAGAGGACAGUGGCGGACGGGUGAGUAACGCGUGAGGAACCUGCCUUUCAGAGGGGGACAACAGUUGGAAACGACUGCUAAUACCGCAUAACGCGUAGAGAUCGCAUGGUCUUUACGCCAAAGAUUUAUCGCUGAAAGAUGGCCUCGCGUCUGAUUAGCUAGUUGGUGAGGUAACGGCCCACCAAGGCGACGAUCAGUAGCCGGACUGAGAGGUUGAACGGCCACAUUGGGACUGAGAUACGGCCCAGACUCCUACGGGAGGCAGCAGUGGGGAAUAUUGGGCAAUGGGCGCAAGCCUGACCCAGCAACGCCGCGUGAAGGAAGAAGGCUUUCGGGUUGUAAACCUCUUUUGUCAGGGACGAGCAGAAGACGGUACCUGACGAAUAAGCCACGGCUAACUACGUG
rnacentral:rRNA from 1 species